rnacentral:rRNA from 1 species
AGUGAACGCUGGCGGUAGGCCUAACACAUGCAAGUCGAACGGCAGCACAGUAAGAGCUUGCUCUUACGGGUGGCGAGUGGCGGACGGGUGAGGAAUACAUCGGAAUCUACUUUUUCGUGGGGGAUAACGUAGGGAAACUUACGCUAAUACCGCAUACGACCUACGGGUGAAAGCAGGGGAUCUUCGGACCUUGCGCGAUUGAAUGAGCCGAUGUCGGAUUAGCUAGUUGGCGGGGUAAAGGCCCACCAAGGCGACGAUCCGUAGCUGGUCUGAGAGGAUGAUCAGCCACACUGGAACGGAGACACGGUCCAGACUCCUACGGGAGGCAGCAGUGGGGAAUAUUGGACAAUGGGCGCAAGCCUGAUCCAGCCAUACCGCGUGGGUGAAGAAGGCCUUCGGGUUGUAAAGCCCUUCUGUUGGGAAAGAAAAGCAGCAGGUUAAUACCCCGCUGUUCUGACGGUACCCAAAGAAUAAGCACCGGCUAACUUCGUG